CCAGCACUUUCACAGGUUCCGUCCUAGAUAGUGGACUGGGAUUUGGUAGUUGGUGCUAAGAGCAAAACCCUUGAUUGAAACCUUGCCUGGGGUUGUGCCAAUGGCAGCUGUCACUCAGUGGGACAGAG